UUUUGCUCGUAGUUAGAUUUG
rnacentral:piRNA from 1 species